UAAAAUAGUCUUUUUUUUUUGGGUUAAUUACCCCAGUAGUCCCCAACCUUUCUACCAAUUUUCAAUUGCGUCCCCAAACUUUUUUUUUUUGCAAUUGAGUCACUAAUCUCUUAAUUUUAUUUCAAUUAAGUCCCAGCCGUUAAAUAGGUGUUAAAAUUGGCGAAAAAUGGCACGUUAGCACCAUGUCAGCGCUACGGAGUCGCCAUGUCAGCGCCACGGUGGCGCUGUGUCAACGGAUUGCAAAAAAAAAGGUUGGGGACCAAAUUGAACGGCGUUGAUAUUGCGCCACUGUGGGGUCCCCAACCUUUUUUUUUUUUGCAAUCCGUUGACACAACGCUACCGUGGAGCUGAUAUGGUGACUCCGUGGCGUGUUGAUGUGGUAUUUUCUAUCAAUUUUAACACCUAUUUAACGGUUGGGACUUAAUUGAAAUGAAAUCAAGAGAUUAGAAAUUUAAUUGAAAUAAAAUCAAGUGAUUAGGAACUCAAUUGCAAAAAAAAAAAGAUUGGGGACUCAAUUAAAAAUUGAUGGAAAGGUUGGGGACUACUGGUGUAAUUAA
rnacentral:lncRNA from 1 species